CAGGCCUCCAUGAGCACUUUCAGAUUUAAGACAUGCAGAGGCAUCCGGCAGGUGCCCAGUGUAGAGAGCUACUUGCCUUCUUGCUUUGAGCCAUUUCCUUUGCUGCUGGGUUUGUGGUCUUUUCAUUUUUUGGUGACUUGAGUUAGUCAUAAAGAGGCUACUCAAAAGCAUCAUCUCAGGACUCUGAGAUGACUCACAGGGCAGAGAUAAACACGGAGCGACUCAAACAGCUAUGGUGUCUUAGCUUACCUUUUUUGCUAAUUUCAAGUCCUCUAUCAAGUCUUCUUCACCUUGAGAAAGUUCAAAGAUCGCCUGCAGGGAAAAAAUAGACUGGCUUAGUUCUUUCAUCUAUGAGACCAAAUUCAAAAAGUACCAACACUCAAAGCUCCAAAUACCCUUAAGUUAGAUGAGCCUGGGGGUAAUACUCAGGGAAGUAUAUGUUGAGUGUGUGCAAACACCUGGGUUUAAUACCCUGCAGAUUAAGAUUCUCCUCUUUCAUAUGGAAAUGGAGUUAGGGGCUUGGGGGGGACUUAUUUGUUGGUGGUGAGGAUCUGAAGGAGGAAGAAGGAGGGUGAGAAGGAUGGGGAGGAAGAGAAGAAGAAAGGAAGAAAGGAAGGAAAGAGUAGUUUAGUAGUAGUGUUGUAGUGGUAACGCAGUAGAAGUAGCAGCAGUAGUAGUCAUAGGUAAAUUAGCCUGAAGCAAUGUUCUUGUAGCUAAAAGCUUCAAGGCAGAGCCUUGCCUGUGAGAGAAUCGUGUAUUUCUAACCUACACAGUCACCCGCGAUGUUUCAGAACUCUGAUGAAAUCCAACACAAGGAACUGUGUCAAAUGGACCUGGCAGUGUUAUUAACCAGACCAUCACACGCUGUUCUCUUUUACCCAAAGAAGGCAAGUCUCAGCAGAAAGCUAUAUUCCUAUCAUCUAGUUAAGACUGGGGUUAUAGGAGGAAUGCAACAGUUUAUUACUGUAAAUAGAAUCUGGUGGGGUCAAUCCACUCUCAAGUCCCAAUAAGAUUAGAGGGGCUGGCUCUUUGUGAGUGUGUAAAUGGACCAGUUCUAAUGUGGCUCCAUUAGGCCACCAUAAUUUAAAGAGCUAUGAUGUGCAGAACACCCUCUCUCAUCUGGGAAUCUAAACACUGGGCAAACAUUAUGGUAUUAAAGGACUACAAGUCUCUGAUGAUGAUCCAGGAGCAACUGUACUGUUUCCAGCUGGAGAGGAGGAGUCAACAGCUUUCAGGCAUGCCUGCCAUCCUGAGGCUUAGGGACCAGAGGGCCACGAAAUGGAACAGAGCAGGUGGGGCAAGAUACUGGGCUGCAGGGACAACCUUCCCCAAGGCCCAGCAAAGCCUCAUGUCAUGGCUUACUGAAAUAAUCACUAUCACAUGAGAAGCUGCACAGACGUCCCGUGUACCCAUCAGCUGGCUGUCUCCAACACUGGCAUCUUAUAUGGAUUUGCCUCUGGUUUCCUUAGCCGUUUGCUCAUCAACUAUACUGACCACUGGCCUCUCCACCAAGGGAGGAGAGCCAUGGGAUUCCACAGUGAAAAGAACUUUGGCUUUGAGGUCACUUCUACCACCCGCCAUGAGUACUUUCCUCUGCACUGCAAACAAUGAAUUCUGCAGCAGGCACUAAGGAACCUUCUGAUGGACAGACACACAGGCAGCUCCAGGGGUCCCGAGCUUACCUCCUGUCUCUUGAUCUCCUUGGCCGUGAGCAC